GCCAAGUCCUCGGAUCAAGGGACCACAUGUCUGCAUGCACAACUCCUCUUUCAGAAGUGUUCUUAUCAGAUUGAAUUUCUUUAAAAUAGCCACCAUACAAGAAAACCUCAUCUUGCUGAACAAAAAAUUGGAAACCACUUCGAGGACUAGGCCACAUUGCACCAGGACUAGGCUUUACUUCUUGCCACUUGUACUGAUCCAGAUCAAACACGUACAUGUCGU
rnacentral:misc_RNA from 1 species